UACCUCACCAUGGAAACAUAUAUCAAAAAGCUUGAUCACUCUAAAUCCCUAUUAGCAGGGCAUCCAGCAACAUUUCCCCUUGGCUGGCAAUUUAUGUGGGAUUUAGUUGCCUGUCCUGAACGUUCUGAGUCCUCAUAAUCAUAUUACGUCUGCUCUCGCUUGUUCCGGAUCUGGCAGCCUCAGAUGUGGUGAACUGAUUUUUAGUUGGCUGUUCCCGGUUUUAUUUCGGGAAGAACAAUUAGUUACAUGGACCUUGAUAGUAGAAAAUAGACCGUCCCAAGUUUUAAGCAGACAGAAAACAGAGUACUUGAAACUGGAAAUGGUCUGGUCAAUUUUGAUAUCUAAUAUCAGUAGUGCAGAGGAUGAAUAGGACAUAAAAGUGGUCACGGAGAUAAUUUUAAAGUUACUGCAAUGAUCUAGUUAACGUUCUUGAUAGAAGACUAGAGGAUUGAGCCCCAACGGUAUUGAGAAGGAACAAGACAAUGGAUUGCUGCAUGUUGAGAAAACAUAAGAUUAUAAGUUGCCAAGACAUAUGCUAUAUAUAAACCUAUUAGUAUCAUAUCCCCUAAGACUUUUCAAAAUUGGCCAAAUUAUAUUGACAUUUAUCUUCAUUAUACUUUGAGUGACAUGAAGAUGGCAGAUGGAAACUGAGUUUUCCUUAUCAUGAGAGAUAAUUAUGACUAAAAUUUUCUACCACUACUUCUUUGCUUAUGCAAAUAUAUGUUAUAACAUUUAAAUAUAUAGUUAAAUAUUACUAUUAUGUAGAAUUGCAAAUACACAUAAUUAUGUUUUUUUAAAAGCAGUCCAUACAAAUAACUCAUUUGUUUACAGUAUUCUCAUGGAUGUCUGAGACGAAAAACCACUAAUUGUCUAUGUAAGCAAAGUGACACCAUAUUAUUUUAAAAUAAACAUCCAAGAGAAUUCCAUGUAUAUAAGACGGCAGAUUAUGUGGAUGUAGAAAACACUGUAAUCAUCAAAGACAUGAUAAAGUCAGCACAAAUCUUAGUAAAUUAUUCUGGAGUGACACCGACUCUGAUAUUCAGGCAGAUUGCAGGGAA
rnacentral:lncRNA from 1 species